rnacentral:rRNA from 1 species
GACGAACGCUGGCGGCGUGCUUAACACAUGCAAGUCGAACGGUGAAGGGGUCUGCUUUUGUGGGCCCUGGAUGAGUGGCGAACGGGUGAGUAACACGUGAGUAACCUGCCCCCUUCUUCUGGAUAACCGCAUGAAAGUGUGGCUAAUACGGGAUAUUCUGGGUCUGUCGCAUGAUGGGUCUGGGAAAGAUUGCGCCUUUGGGUGUUUUUGGUGGGGGAUGGGCUCGCGGCCUAUCAGCUUGUUGGUGGGGUGAUGGCCUACCAAGGCGGCGACGGGUAGCCGGCCUGAGAGGGUGGACGGUCACACUGGGACUGAGACACGGCCCAGACUCCUACGGGAGGCAGCAGUGGGGAAUAUUGCACAAUGGGCGCAAGCCUGAUGCAGCGACGCCGCGUGAGGGAUGGAGGCCUUCGGGUUGUAAACCUCUUUCGCCAGUGAAGCAGGCCUGCUCCGUGUGGGUGGGUUGACGGUAGCUGGAUAAGAAGCGCCGGCUAACUACGUG